CUUCCUGUGACAAGAGUAUGAAAGCAACUCACAGGUCGACAUACAGGUUGCUGUACAUUCAGAGGUCUUGGUUGUUAAGAGAGCUGUUGAAAGUCCUAAUAGUGAUGAGGAGGCUGCUGGAUAGAAACGUAAGGAAGAUCCUUGAACUGUACCUUAGGAUUCUCUUUUGUGUGUUCUCCACACGGAGACAGACGCCUGCCACAACAACAGACUGCGCAUCAUGCUGAAUGAAAGUUGGUUACUUGAUAUGAUAAAGUUCUUAAUCACGCCUUUGAUGUGCAUAGCACUGUACCUGCUGUGUUGCCGUAGAAAAUGGCUGUGCACUCAGGAAGAAGAGUCAGAUGACUCCUCUGUCUAUGUCAUCCCUAUGCAUGAAGAAGAGAGGACAGAAGGUCGAAGAGAGGAGGCAAGUCCCCCCAGUAGACCUCCUCGGCCCUCAAGGGCCCCAACCCCUCCACCGUUACCCACGACUGUCUACAGACCUCCCUAUAGAGAACUGCCGCCGUAUAGCUCAGUGGAUCUCAUCAACCCUGCACCGCCAUACACUCCGGUACGACAUCCCUCCACUGCUAGGUUGACCUCCUCAAACUGUCAACAGACAUCUUGAUUAUAAAGACUUUCAGCGGCUGUCAACACUUUCCCCCAUUUUGUAAUUUAGGGGGGAAACAUCAGCAUUGCAAAACCAGACUGAAUGCUGUGCUCACUAUGUUUCACUUGAAUCAGGCUAGAAAAGAAUUACUUGCUUUUAAAAACACGGGCAGUGCAAUCAAUCUUCU